UGCUGAUGUCUUGACCGUACAGAGGCUACUUGACGCCAUGGGUGGAUUGUGGACUCCUGCAAGGAAAGGACUGCUGGACAAGGAGUGCCUUCGUGGGUUCACCUUCAUGCAAUGAACAACUGACUCAGAACUGACUCGGGCAGGGGGAAUCCGACUGUUUAAUUGAAACAAAGCAUUGCGAUGGCCCUAGAGGGUGGUGACACAAUGUGAUUUCUGCCCAGUGCUCUGAAUGUCAAAGUGAGGAAAUUCAACUAAGCGCGGGUAAACGGCGGGAGUAACUAUGACUCUCUUAAGGUAGCCAAAUGCCUCGUCAUCCAAUUAGUGACGCGCAUGAAUGGAUUAAUGAGAUUCCUACUGUCCCUAUCUGCUGUCCAGCGAAACCACAGCCAAGGGAACGGGCUUGGGUGGAUCUGCGGGGAAAGAAGACCCUGUUGAGCUUGACUCUAAUCUGACUGUGUGAAAUGACUUAGGGGGUGUAGGAUAUGUGGGAGCUAUGGUGGUCCUUGAAAUACCACUACCCUUUAAAUGUUGCUUUACUUAAAUCUAUUAUGCUGUACCCUUGCAAAGGUGCAUGAAUUUUCGUUGUUUAAAGGUUGUCACAAUCUGGUUCCACCUGAUCCUGCGGUAAGAGAACUCACGUCAGGGUGGGGGGAGAUUUGGGCCUGGGGGCCGCCACAAUCUCGGUUUAAAAGGAA
rnacentral:rRNA from 1 species